rnacentral:rRNA from 1 species
AAAGGAAGGGAGAGCAUGGACCGGCUACCGUGCAGUCGAGCGGUGAGAGGUGCUUGCACCUCUUGAGAGCGGCGGACGGGUGAGUAAAGCCUAGGAAUCUGCCUGGUAGUGGGGGAUAACGCUCGGAAACGGACGCUAAUACCGCAUACGUCCUACGGGAGAAAGCAGGGGACCUUCGGGCCUUGCGCUAUCAGAUGAGCCUAGGUCGGAUUAGCUAGUUGGUGAGGUAAUGGCUCACCAAGGCGACGAUCCGUAACUGGUCUGAGAGGAUGAUCAGUCACACUGGAACUGAGACACGGUCCAGACUCCUACGGGAGGCAGCAGUGGGGAAUAUUGGACAAUGGGCGAAAGCCUGAUCCAGCCAUGCCGCGUGUGUGAAGAAGGUCUUCGGAUUGUAAAGCACUUUAAGUUGGGAGGAAGGGCAUUAACCUAAUACGUUAGUGUUUUGACGUUACCGACAGAAUAAGCACCGGCUAACUCUGUGCCAGCAGCCGCGGUAAUACAGAGGGUGCAAGCGUUAAUCGGAAUUACUGGGCGUAAAGCGCGCGUAGGUGGUUCGUUAAGUUGGAUGUGAAAUCCCCGGGCUCAACCUGGGAACUGCAUUCAAAACUGUCGAGCUAGAGUAUGGUAGAGGGUGGUGGAAUUUCCUGUGUAGCGGUGAAAUGCGUAGAUAUAGGAAGGAACACCAGUGGCGAAGGCGACCACCUGGGACUGAUACUGACACUGAGGUGCGAAAAGCGUGGGGAGCAAACAGGAUUAGAUACCCUGGUAGUCCACGCCGUAAACGAUGUCAACUAGCCGUUGGGAGCCUUGAGCUCUUAUGGCGCAGCUAACGCAUUAAGUUGACCGCCUGGGGGAAGUACCGCCCGCAAGGUUUAAAACUCAAAUGGAUUUGACCGGGGGCCCCGCACAAGCGCGUGGAGCAUGUGGUUUAAAUCCGAAGCAACGCAAAGAACCCUUACCCAGGCCUUUGACAUCCAAUGAACCUUUCCAGAGAAUGAAUUGGUGCCCUUCGGAAACAUUGAAACAAGGUGCCUGCAUGGCCUGUCGUCAGCCUCCGU